rnacentral:ncRNA from 1 species
AUACCAAUAAAAGCGCCAGGCCAUUUUAUUUAAAAAUGGUGACGAGGAGAGAGCUUAUCGAAAGAUUCGGCGGAUAGCUCUAGGCUGUACAGUCUACAGGCAAUUCUAAAAAUGCAAAGUGAUUUGUUAACAAAGAAAUUGCCAAGUACCUAG